GGGGCUGUAGCUCAGUGGCAGAGCACUUGCCUAGCAUAUAUGAGGCACUGGGUUUGACCCUCAGCACCA
rnacentral:tRNA from 1 species